CUUUUGUAAUGAGUUUUGUCAAAACCUUGUUGACCCUAGUGAGAGUUGUAUCAUAGUCACAAGAUCAAGAUCACGUACACACCACAUAUAUAUAUGCUGCUUCUACACUGGAAGUACGCAACCACAUGUAUUGUGCAUCCACUAAAUAGGUUGCUCCAUACUCUAAGUGUUAGAACACCUCUCUAAAUAUUGUUUAGAAAAUGAGACAUAAAAGGGCUUGGCAAAAUAAAAGAAAAAAGAAAAGAUGGACAUGUGCAAGUCCAUGAAAAAAAAAAUGAGCACAUAAAGCUCGAAGAAAAAGAAAAUCUAGCCAUGUCUCAAUAUACAAGUAGAGAGAGUGUAGCAAAUAAAGGAGCAACCUAGUCCACCAUAUAACACACUUGCACAUCUUGAUCUAUGACUAUGACACUCCUCUCUUUGGAUCCUUGUUUUUGACUUAACAAUAUUUGCAAAGUAGAGUAUGCUACCUUGUUUAUCCCUACCAAGCCCCAUAUAAGCCUAUAGUUAUAGGAUGAAACAAGUUGGCAUUCAUGCCUUGGUGAGGACUACUAAAAAAAAAACUUUGAGUGAUCUAGAGCGCUAAAUGAGGAGUAGGAUUGAACUAUGUGACUUAUUUUAAAAAGUGUCAUAAAAACUCUAAGUACCAAGAAUAUGAAAUUGGAAUUUGAUCUUGUUCUGAGAGUUGUUCCUUUUCUCAACCUCUGAAGGAUAUAUGCUAGACACUUACACAAAAACCCAUUUGGAUGAACUAUGUUCGAACUAGCAUUUUAUGCUCACUACUAUCUUAAGUUAGAAACCAUUGAUCACUCAUUUUUAACCUUUACUCGAGGACGAGCAAAGACUCAAGUGUAGGGGGUCUUGUUGACGGUAUUUAUACCAUGUUUUCUACUAUCAUAACCGUCAACAUAAGACUCAUUUUGGGAGAAAACAACCAAACAAAGUAGUAAUAUAGGUACAUAUAACCUAGUUCCACAUGUACAUGCUACUAUUUGGUUGCAGGAGUAAGAACAGGUACUUUUCAAGGGUCCAAACACUAAGAAGGGGUGAAUAACUAAAGAUCAGUGACACCAGUAACCAAGACAACAUUAUAGUCA
rnacentral:lncRNA from 1 species